rnacentral:rRNA from 1 species
GAUGAACGCUGGCGGCGUGCCUAAUACAUGCAAGUCGAGCGAACAGACGAGGAGCUUGCUCCUCUGAUGUUAGCGGCGGACGGGUGAGUAACACGUGGAUAACCUACCUAUAAGACUGGGAUAACUUCGGGAAACCGGAGCUAAUACCGGAUAACAUGUUGAACCGCAUGGUUCAACAGUGAAAGACGGUUUUGCUGUCACUUAUAGAUGGAUCCGCGCCGCAUUAGCUAGUUGGUAAGGUAACGGCUUACCAAGGCAACGAUGCGUAGCCGACCUGAGAGGGUGAUCGGCCACACUGGAACUGAGACACGGUCCAGACUCCUACGGGAGGCAGCAGUAGGGAAUCUUCCGCAAUGGGCGAAAGCCUGACGGAGCAACGCCGCGUGAGUGAAGAAGGUCUUCGGAUCGUAAAACUCUGUUAUUAGGGAAGAACAAAUGUGUAAGUAACUAUGCACGUCUUGACGGUACCUAAUCAGAAAGCCACGGCAAACUACGU